rnacentral:rRNA from 1 species
GACGAACGCUGGCGGCGUGCUUAACACAUGCAAGUCGAACGGAAAGGCCCUGCUUUUGUUGGGUGCUCGAGUGGCGAACGGGUGAGUAACACGUGAGUAACCUGCCCUUGACUUUGGGAUAACUUCAGGAGACUGGGGCUAAUAUCGGAUAGGAGCUCCUGCUGCAUGGUGGUGGUUGGAAAGUUUCGGCGGUUGGGGAUGGACUCGCGGCUUAUCAGCUUGUUUGUGGGGUAGUGGCUUUCCAAGGCUUUGACGGGUAGCCGGCCUGAGAGGGUGACCGGCCACAUUGGGCCUGAGAUACGGACCAGACUCCUACGGGAGGCAGCAGUGGGGAAUCUUGCACAAUGGGCGGAAGCCUGAUGCAGCAACGCCGCGUGCGGGAUGACGGCCUUCGGGUUGUAAACCGCUUUCGCAUGUGACGAAGCGUGAGUGACGGUAAUGGGUAAAGAAGCACCGGCUAACUACGUG